UUAGGACCCUAGUUUUUUGUGACAUCGCCACCUGCCGGAUUAGAUCAUAGACGCUCUAAUAAGAUGGACGACAUGGAUGGCAAGAAUAAUAAAUCUUGCACAACAAAUUGAUCCUGGAAACUGGACUGAGAAGACUGGGCAUGAUGUUGCUGGCUUGCCACGCCAGAGCUGUGGUAAUGAAUGUGGGGUUUUUAUGCUUAUGUAUACCCUUUGCUCUGUGACCGGUGUGGCAAUUGAAUUCCAGGAGAAAAUGGACACAUCAUGAAUUAUAAGACUUCAAAAUAGAAGGCGGUUUGCCUUCUGGACCGAUGAGGCCAGAAACUUGCUCAAAGGAAAACUUCAGCCAGUGUACAGGGUGCCAAAAAAGUGUGCCAUCUCUGAGGAAAUCCCACUUCACAUUCAGGCUG